GACGAACGCUGGCGGCGUGCUUAACACAUGCAAGUCGAACGGAAAGGCCCUGCUUUUGUGGGGUUCUCGAGUGGCGAACGGGUGAGUAACACGUGAGUAACCUGCCCUUGACUUUGGGAUAACUUCAGGAAACUGGGGCUAAUACCGGAUAGGAGCUCCUGCUGCAUGGUGGGGGUUGGAAAGUUUCGGCGGUUGGGGAUGGACUCGCGGCUUAUCAGCUUGUUGGUGGGGUAGUGGCUUACCAAGGCUUUGACGGGUAGCCGGCCUGAGAGGGUGACCGGCCACAUUGGGACUGAGAUACGGCCCAGACUCGUACGGGCGGCAGCAGUGGGGAAUAUUGCACAAUGGGCGGAAGCCUGAUGCAGCAACGCCGCGUGCGGGAUGACGGCCUUCGGGUUGUAAACCGCUUUCGACUGUGACGAAGCGUGAGUGACGGUAAUGGGUAAAGAAGCACCGGCUAACUACGUG
rnacentral:rRNA from 1 species